CUUAGCGCAACUGGAUAGAGUGUCUGACUACGAAUCAGAAGGUUGUAGGUUCGACUCCUACAG
rnacentral:tRNA from 1 species